GGGGGGGCCUCCUCCUCGGAAGGGGUCCGGCGAACCCUUGGAAAAUCUGUAUAACUUUGGGCUGAUCGCACGGGCCCGUCCCGGCGACGCAUCUUUCAAGUGUCUGCCUUAUUAACUGUCGAUGGUAGGUCACGCGCCUACCAUGGUCGUAACGGGUGACGGGGAAUCAGGGUUCGAUUCCGGAGAGGGAGCCUGAGAAACGGCUACCACAUCCAAGGAAGGCAGCAGGCAACA
rnacentral:rRNA from 1 species